GGCACAAGCGGUGGAGUAUGUGGUUAAUUUCGAUGCAACGCGAAGAACUUACCUGGUCUUGACAUCCCGGAGACCCUUAGGAAACUAGGGGUGCUUCCAUCUGGAAGAAUCUGGAGACAGGUGCUGCAUGGCUGUCGUCAGCUCGUGUCGUGAGAUGUUGGGUUAAGUCCCGCAACGAGCGCAACCCUUGCCUUUAGUUGCCAGCAGUUCGGCUGGGCACUCUAAAGGGACUGCCGGUGUUAAACCGGAGGAAGGUGGGGAUGACGUCAAGUCCUCAUGGCCUUUAUGACCAGGGCUACACACGUACUACAAUGGCCGAUACAAAGGGCAGCGACACUGCGAGGUGAAGCCAAUCCCGUAAAAUCGGUCUCAGUCCGGAUUGGAGUCUGCAACUCGACUCCAUGAAGUUGGAAUCGCUAGUAAUCGUGGAUCAGCAUGCCACGGUGAAUACGUUCCCGGGCCUU
rnacentral:rRNA from 1 species